rnacentral:rRNA from 1 species
CCGACGGUGAGGGGUGAAGGCUGGGGGCGCAAACCGGAUUAGAUACCCGGGUAGUCCCAGCAGUAAACGAUGCCAGCUAUGUGUUGCUGGAACCAUGGGUUCCAGCAGUGCCGAAGGGAAGCCGUGAAGCUGGCCACCUGGGAAGUACGGUCGCAAGGCUGAAACUUAAAGGAAUUGGCGGGGGAGUACCACAACCGGUGGAGCCUGCGGUUUAAUUGGAUACAACGCCGGGAAUCUUACCGGAGGGGACAGCAGUAUGAAGGCCAGGCUAAAGACCUUGCCAGAUCAGCUGAGAGGAGGUGCAUGGCCGUCGCCAGUUCGUACCGUGAGGCAUCCUGUUUAGUCAGGCAACGAUCGAGACCCGCAGUCUUAUUUGCCAGCAUGCCCUUUGGGGUGUAUGGGUACAAUAAGACGACCGCCAGCGCUAAGCUGGAGGAAGGAGCGGGCUACGGUAGGUCAGCAUGCCCCGAAUCCUCCGGGAUACACGCGGGCUACAAUGGUCAGGACAAAAGGUACCGACCUCGAAAGAGUGAGGUAAUCCACAAACCUGAUCUCAGUCCGGAUCGAAGGCUGCAACUCGCCUUCGUGAAGAUGGAAUCGGUAGUAAUCGUGACUCAAAAUGUCACGGUGAAUAUGUCCCUGCUCCUUGCACACACCGCCCGU